UGAAAACAAGUAAUCCACCCUCUGAACCACUGAGAUCGCAAUUCACAAUCUCUCACUUGGCUGCUUCUAGCAAAGGGUAGAGUUCUCGACCUUCCAUUCGCAUUGUGAUGUCUAGAGCAGUGAUUUCCAAAUGGGAGCAAAAGGAUCCAAGGGAAUGCUCAGAAAUAUGCAAUGGGGUACAGAAAGAAGACAUAUGCACUAACAUGAGCUCAUGGUGUUCCUCCACUUUGGAGGCCUGAAAAAGAAACACCGGGAAAAUUCUGCAGGACAUUUCACUACUCCACUGACUAAAAGGGCCAGGAAAUAUAGUCACCCAUAUGCCCAAAAAAGAAAAGAGCUGAAUAUUGUAUUUAAGAUUUGGUUUACUUAUCUCAAAAAGAAGUGACUAAAAGUUCAAUGGGAGAAAUGAUAGAAGCUAAUUGUGAUAAAACAGAUAAAGUACAUGGCACAAUGAGUGUGAACCCCUGGAGUUUUACAAUCAUUUGAAAUUCAAAGGCAAAUGCUGAGAGCACACCAUCAUGAGAAUUGGCACCAAUGAAAAAGUUUGUCAAAAUCACUCUGGCACUAAACCACUGAAUGUUUUCAACACAAAUGGAAAGCUGACAUCAUUUAUAGACAACUCAUGGACCAACACAAAGGAAAAAAUGUCAGAUCCAGUGAAUUUCUUUUCUUGUAAUUACUGUAUGAUUUCAACAUUGGCGUCUGUAAGAAAUACUAUUUUCCUCUGAAGUGUUUUCUGUAGCAUUAUUUUGUUUACCAUGGGAGGUUUGUCUUCUCCCAUUUUCCUUAGAAGUUGAACACACAUUUUCAAAGCCUGCUAGUGAUUUUGAAUUUCAAAAGCGAUUACAAGCAUGAUUCAUGCAAUAUGACUCAUCCCUCUCAAAUGCUCUAAUUGUAUAAACUAUAUCCUUCAAAGCGUCUUAUGGACACAUUAAAUAUUAGUAAACACAUUUUCAAGUGCCAAAAGGUAUGGUUCCUUCACACUUGCUGAUAAGACUGUAAUUGAUCCUCUAAUUUCCAUGUAUGAUUCAAAAUAAAGCUAAGACUGUGGUAAGUCUCGCAUUUUUAACAUUAAACUUGAACACACCAGUUCUGCCACUGCAGUAGCCACAUCUUGAUUCUUAACAGCAGUCACCUUCACCUCCAUAAUUUCCCUUUUGUUGCUUCAAAUUAUUUGUUGUACUAAGCACACUUUCUCUACCAAUAAAUUCAUGCCUCUUAUUACAGUGUAAGUUUCCAUCUCUUAGUAAUUUGAAGAAUAAACGGUCAUUUUCCAAACCAUCUAAAGAAGACCUCUUCAAGUCACUAUCAUAUUAUAUUACUCACUUUUAUUUUGCUCAGGACAGUGUACCGACAGUCUUCCAUCAUUAAACUUAAAAUUUCAUCAGGGCAGGACCCUUUUUUUAAAAAAAAAAAAGUUGAUUUAACUUUAUUUUUAAAUUCAUAAGAAAUAAUUGAAUAUAUUUAUAGUAUACAGCAUGAUAUUUUGAUAUAUGUAUAUGUUUUGGAAUUGUUAAUUCAAGCUAUUUAACAUGUGCAUUAUCUCAUAGAAGUAUCUAUUUUUGUGGUGAGAACACUUAAAAUUUACUCUCUAAGCAAUUCUCAAAUAUACAAUAUAUUGUCAUUAACUGUAGUCAACAAGAUGUGCAAUCGUUUUUUGGAAUGUAUUUAUUGUGUGUAACUGAAUAUUUGUGUUGUUUGAUUAAUAUCCUCCCAUUCCUUCCAUCCCCUAGCCUUUAAUGACUACUAUUUUACUUUCUGUUUCUAUGAGUUUGAUUUUUUUUACAUUCCAUAUGUAAAUGAGAUUAUGCAAUAUUUGUUUUUCUGUGCCUGGCUUCUUUCACUUAGCAUAAUGUCUUCCUGGUUGAUCCAUGUUUUUUCAUAUGACAGAACUUCCUUCUUUUUUAAGGCAGAAUAGAAUUGUAUUGUUUACACACACACACACACACACACACACACACACACACACACACACAGUCUUUAACCAUUCAUCUGUUGAUAGACACUUAGUUGAUUCCAUUCCCUGGCUAUUGUGAACAAUGCUGCAAUGAACAUGGGAAUGAAGAUAUCUCUUUGACAUUCUGAUUUCAUAUGAAACAGAACUCUUUUGUAUCAUGUUCAAAACUGUAUCUGCCUUCUUUUCUCUGCCCAGGAUGUAAAAAAAGUGGCUGAUACUUAGAUGAUACUUGGAGAAUAUUUGUUAAAUGAAUAAAUAAAUAAUGAAUCCACUGUUGAGAAUGAGAUUAGUCAACUAAAGUCUUAUCCACAGACAAUGUUCUGAGUUGAGACUGAUUGUGGUUAGGGGCCAUGGAAGGUGAUUUUACUUCACCAUUCUUAACAGCAUAGCCAUAUGAAAGGCAACAUUCAAAUAAACUUGACAUCAGUAUGAUUUUGGGGACUUUCUCUAACAUUAUUCAUCCAUAUAGGAGACAGGAGAUAUUAAAGGUAAUGACCAAUUUUUGAUCAGACAGUCAGAAGUACUAUGAGUAGCCCACAAGAGCCGUAUCUAGAAAGAAUAUAAUGCAAGUCCCAAAUAUGAGGCACAAGUAUAAUUUAAAUUUUUUAGUAAUCAUGUCUUAGUAAAAAGAAAGAGAUAAAAAUAGUUUUAACACAGUUUAG
rnacentral:lncRNA from 1 species